rnacentral:rRNA from 1 species
AUUGAACGCUGGCGGCAGGCUUAACACAUGCAAGUCGAGCGGGGGAAGGUAGCUUGCUACUGGACCUAGCGGCGGACGGGUGAGUAAUGCUUAGGAAUCUGCCUAUUAGUGGGGGACAACAUCUCGAGAGGGAUGCUAAUACCGCAUACGUCCUACGGGAGAAAGCAGGGGAGCUUUGGACCUUGCGCUAAUAGAUGAGCCUAAGUCGGAUUAGCUAGUUGGUGGGGUAAAGGCGUACAAAGGCGACGAUCUGUAGCGGGUUGGAGAGGAUGAUCCGCCACACGGGGACUGAGACACGGCCCAGACUCCUACGGGAGGCAGCAGUGGGGAAUAUUGGACAAUGGGGGGAACCCUGAUCCAGCCAUGCCGCGUGUGUGAAGAAGGCCUUAUGGUUGUAAAGCACUUUAAGCGAGGAGGAGGCUACUCUAGUUAAUACCUAGGGAUAGUGGACGUUACUCGCAGAAUAAGCACCGGCUAACUCUGUGCCAGCAGCCGCCGUAA